GGGGGUGGUGAAGAGGAUGGAGAGUGGUAGAGAUGGGGACGAAAAGAAGGGGGGGAAGGAAAAGUGGAGCAGGAGCCAGUUAGGAAAGAGUACUAAUAGGAGUGAGCAAUAGAAAGCGAAGAGGUACAGAAGGCUGUGAAAAAUAAGAAAUUGAGAUAAGAAGUGGUGUAGACAUGGGAAUGGAGGGGGAGUGAGGGAAAGGUGGGAAGCAGAAUAGGAGAGCAUGGAGGGGUUUGACGAGGAGAAGGGGAGUGGGAGAUAAAGAAAUCAAGAAGGGGGUUUAAUUACACAUCUGGACCCCAAAAUUCCAGCCUGUGUCCAUGCAGAUGAGAGACUAUACAAGAAUUCAGACUCUGUUUAACCUGCUGAGAUCCCCCAGUGCCUUUGACCGUAGGCAGAGCAAUGUAUCCUCCAGCUGGGAUUCAGCUUGAACACUACCCAGUUUUAGUCUCUGCUCACAUCAUCAGGUUGGAGGCUACCCAGACAGCAAAAGAGGUGUUCAUCCUCCAUCGUGGCCACUCUACUGUUAGUGGAAUUUAGUGGGUCAGAAGGCAUCUAUGGAGAGAAAUGGAUAGCUGAAGUUUGGACAAUGAAUGUGGGACUUCAACCCAAAAUGUUGACAAUUCUUGUCCUUCUACAGAUACUGCUUGUCCUGCUGAAUUCCUCCAAUCCAGAUUCUUAGCUCCAGGUUCCAGUGUCUGCAGUCUCUUCUGUCUCCAGUCAAUGUCUCAGGAUGCCCGGGUCAAAAUCACCCAAAAUAGCAACAAGAAGAAGCAGCAAGCAGAAACCAAGCACUUGAUAUUAAUUUCUAACCUUUUUUGCUUUUGAAUCUUUUAAGAUCCAAAUCCAUAAAUCCGAAAUACUCUUGGAUUGAGGUUGAAUAACAACAAUAAACAAUGCAUUUUCCUUUUAAGAAAUGCGAGUUAGAUUUCAAUACUCUGCUGUAGUUUCACAGUACUGUAAUUUGCAUAAAGGUUGCCUGUGAAUAAACUGAGUGGCCAAGGCACUAAAAAUAUAAGCAUCAAUGUAAAUAAAGUCUAAUAUCUGCAGAGUUGCUCAUGCCUACAAGAUUUUACAGUCAGCUUUAAAAACUCCUUGUUCAAUUGGAUCCUCAUUUGCAGACCCCAGUCAGUAUGGAUUGACAACAAAAUCUCCUCCGUGAUCUCCAUCAGCACUGCUGCACCACAGGGUUGUGUGCUUGGCCUCCAAUCUACUGGCUUUAUACAUAUGACAGUGUAACUAAACACAGCUCCAAUGCCAUAUUCAAGUUUGCUGAUGACACCAUUUUCAUAAACAGAAUCAAAGGUGGUGAUGAAUCAGCAUAUAAGAGGAAGACUGAAAAUCUAGCUGAGAGGUGCCAGAACGACAACAUCUCACUCACUCAUGACAACGAGACCAAGGAGCUGAUUAUUGACUUCAGCAGCCAGUCCUUAUUGGAAGAUCAGAGGUGGAACGGGUCAAUAGGCACCCGUUAGUCUCGCGAGACCAUGGAUUUGCGCCUUGGAAAGUUUCAGGGCAGAAAUUCUGCAGAUAUUAGACUUUAUUUACAUUGAUGCUUGUAUGGGAGACCGGCAGUUGCCCAUGCUGCAAGUCCCCUUCUCCAUGCCACCGAUGUUGUCCAAGGGAAGGGAAAGGGCUGAUACAGCUUGGCACUGGUGUCGUCGCAGAGCAAUGUGUGGUUAAGUGCCUUGCUCAAGGACACAACACGUUGCAUUAGCUGAGGCUUGAACUAGCGACCUUUAGAUCACUAGACCUACGUCUUAACCACUUGGCCAUGUGGAACUAUAAAUUCCUCAGUGUUAUUAUUUUGGGGGAUCUGUCCUGGGAGAGGCAUAUAAGUGCAGCUAUGAAGAAAGCAUAGUAGAACCUCUACUUAAGAGUUUGGGAAGAUUCAGUGUGACAUCUAAAACGUUGACAAACUUCUAUAGAUGUGUGGUGGAGGAGUACAUUGACUGGCUGCAUCACAUCCUGGUAUGGAAACACCAAUGCCCUUGAAUGGAAAUCCCUACUAAAAGUAGUGAACAGCCCAGUCCAUCAGGGUAAAGUCCUCCCUACCACCGAGCACAUCUACAUGAAGUGUUAUUGCAGGAAAGCAGCAUCCAUCAUCAGGGACCCCAUCACCCAGGUCUUGCUCUCUUCGUGCUGCUUCCAUCAGAAAGAAGGUACAGGAGCCUCAGGACUCUCACUAGCAGAUUCAGGAACAGUUAUUACCCCUCAACCAUCAGACUUUGAACCAAGGAGAAUAACUUCACUUGCCCCAUCAUUGAAAUGUUCCCACAAACUAUGGACUCCUUUUCAAGGACUCUUCAUCUCAUGUUCUUGAUUGUUUAUUGCAGUAUCCAUCAUCAGGGACCCUCACCACCCAGGAGAUGCUUUCUUCUUUUGAAAAUGACUUUUCCAAUGCUUCAGCAUUUCCUUGGUAUUGGGUUGGUGUGUCAGACCAAAUGUUGUGCUCGAGGGAACCCAGAGCAUUU